rnacentral:tRNA from 1 species
GCGGAUGUGGCGGAACUGGCAGACGCGCAGGAUUUAGGUUCCUGUGUCCUAGUGGCGUGCAGGUUCGAUUCCUGUCAUCCGCA